rnacentral:rRNA from 1 species
GGCUCAGGACGAACGCUGGCGGCGUGCUUAACACAUGCAAGUCGAGCGAUGAAGCUCCUCGGGAGUGGAUUAGCGGCGGACGGGUGAGUAACACGUGGGCAACCUGCCUCAUAGAGGGGAAUAGCCUUUCGAAAGGAAGAUUAAUACCGCAUAAGAUUGUAGUACCGCAUGGUACAGCAAUUAAAGGAGUAAUCCGCUAUGAGAUGGACCCGCGUCGCAUUAGCUAGUUGGUGAGGUAACGGCUCACCAAGGCGACGAUGCGUAGCCGACCUGAGAGGGUGAUCGGCCACAUUGGGACUGAGACACGGCCCAGACUCCUACGGGAGGCAGCAGUGGGGAAUAUUGCACAAUGGGGGAAACCCUGAUGCAGCAACGCCGCGUGAGUGAUGACGGCCUUCGGGUUGUAAAACUCUGUCUUUGGGGACGAUAAUGACGGUACCCAAGGAGGAAGCCACGGCUAACUACGUGCCAGCAGCGGC